rnacentral:rRNA from 2 species
UUGGGAGAGUUUGAUCCUGGCUCAGGAUGAACGCGGCCGGUGAAGCUGAUACAUGCAAGUCGAACGAGUUCUGAUUAUUGAAAGGUGCUUGCAUCUUGAUUUAAUUUUGAACGAGUGGCGGACGGGUGAGUAACACGUGGGUAACCUGCCCUUAAGUGGGGGAUAACAUUUGGAAACAGAUGCUAAUACCGCAUAAAUCCAAGAACCGCAUGGUUCUUGGCUGAAAGAUGGCGUAAGCUAUCGCUUUUGGAUGGACCCGCGGCGUAUUAGCUAGUUGGUGAGGUAACGGCUCACCAAGGCAAUGAUACGUAGCCGAACUGAGAGGUUGAUCGGCCACAUUGGGACUGAGACACGGCCCAAACUCCUACGGGAGGCAGCAGUAGGGAAUCUUCCACAAUGGACGCAAGUCUGAUGGAGCAACGCCGCGUGAGUGAAGAAGGCUUUCGGGUCGUAAAACUCUGUUGUUGGAGAAGAAUGGUCGGCAGAGUAACUGUUGUCGGCGUGACGGUAUCCAACCAGAAAGCCACGGCUAACUACGUGCCAGCAGCCGCGGUAAUAA